AAGGGAACCGCCGGUGACAAGCCGGAGGAAGGCGGGGAUGACGUCAAGUCCUCAUGGCCCUUAUGGGCUGGGCUACACACGUGCUACAAUGGCGGUGACAGUGGGCAGCGAAGGCGCGAGCCGGAGCCAAUCCCCAAAAGCCGUCUCAGUUCGGAUUGCACUCUGCAACUCGGGUGCAUGAAGGUGGAAUCGCUAGUAAUCGUGGAUCAGCAUGCCACGGUGAAUACGUUCCCGGGCCUUGUACACACCGCCCGUCACACCAUGGGAGUUGGUUUGACCCGAAGACGGUGCGCCAACCGCAAGGAGGCAGCCGGCCACGGUCAGGUCAGCGACUGGGGUGAAGUCGUAACAAGGUAGCCGUAGGGGAACCUGCGGCUGGAUCACCUCCUUU
rnacentral:ncRNA from 1 species